rnacentral:tRNA from 1 species
GGGAUUGUGGCUCAGCGGUAGAGUACUUGCCUAGCACGUACGAGGUCCUGGGUUCAAUCCUCAGCACCA